AGUGAACGCUGGCGGUAUGCCUAAUACAUGCAAGUCGAACGGCCGCACAGUAAGCUCUCUCUUUUACUGUUGGCGACUGGCGGACGGGUGAGGCAUACAUAGCCAUCUUCUUUUUCUUGGAGGACAUCGUAGGGCCACUUCUACUACUACCUCAUACUUUCUACGGCUUAAAUCAGGAGUUCUUCGCAGUUUUCGCGUUUCAUUGAGCCGAUGCCGCAUUAGCUAGUUGGCGUGGUAAAGUCCCACCAAGGCAACGAUCCGUAGCUGAUCUGAGAGGAUGAUCAGCCACACUGGAACUGAGACACGGUCCAGACUCCUACGGGAGGCAGCAGUGGGGAAUAUUGGACAAUGGGCGAAAGCCUGAUGCAGCCAUGCCGCGUGAGUGAAGAAGGCCUUCGGGUUGUAAAGCCCUUUUGUUGGGAAAGAAAAGCAGUAGGUUAAUACCCCGAUGUUCUGACGGUACCCAAAGAAAAAGCAACGGCUAACUACGUG
rnacentral:rRNA from 1 species